AAUGAACGUUGGCGGCGUGGAUUAGGCAUGCAAGUCGAGCGAGUCUACUUGUAGCAAUAUGAGUAAGUCGAGCGGCGUAAGGGGCAGUAAUACCUGGGAACGUACCCUGAGGUCGGGGAUAGCUGCUGGAAACGGCGAGUAAUACCCGAUGAUCUUGGAAAAGCAAAGGCUUGCCGCCUUGGGAGCGGCCCAGGCGAUAUUAGCUAGUUGGUGGGGUAAUGGCCUACCAAGGCAUAGAUGUCUAGCGGGUGUGAGAGCACGACCCGCGCCACUGGCACUGAGACACUGGCCAGACACCUACGGGUGGCUGCAGUCGAGAAUCUUCGGCAAUGAGCGCAAGCUUGACCGAGCGACGCCGCGUGCGGGAUGAAGGCCUCGGUUGUAACGCUUGUCCGAAGAAGGUAAACGUAGAUCGAUCGGAGAAACAAGGACGGGCGUAAGUUCGUG
rnacentral:rRNA from 1 species